AUUGAACGCUGGCGGCAUGCCUUACACAUGCAAGUCGAACGGCAGCAUAGGAGCUUGCUCCUGAUGGCGAGUGGCGAACGGGUGAGUAAUAUAUCGGAACGUGCCCUAGAGUGGGGGAUAACUAGUCGAAAGACUAGCUAAUACCGCAUACGAUCUACGGAUGAAAGUGGGGGAUCGCAAGACCUCAUGCUCCUGGAGCGGCCGAUGUCUGAUUAGCUAGUUGGUGGGGUAAAAGCUCACCAAGGCGACGAUCAGUAGCUGGUCUGAGAGGACGACCAGCCACACUGGGACUGAGACACGGCCCAGACUCCUACGGGAGGCAGCAGUGGGGAAUUUUGGACAAUGGGGGCAACCCUGAUCCAGCAAUGCCGCGUGAGUGAAGAAGGCCUUCGGGUUGUAAAGCUCUUUUGUCAGGGAAGAAACGGUUCUGGAUAAUACCUGGGACUAAUGACGGUACCUGAAGAAUAAGCACCGGCUAACUACGUGCCAGCAGCCGCCGUAAUAC
rnacentral:rRNA from 1 species